CACAAUCAAUGUAAGAAUCAAUGAGAACAGGAGGCUGCCAAGUGUCGUUGGUCAAAAAAGAAACCAUUUCACUUUCCGAUCUUUUUCUUUUUGGUUUUUCUGCAGCCGCUUCUUUGAAAAAAGACGGUUUUUUCUCUUCUGAAGCAGCAGGAGGGGGAGAAGGAGAAGAAGAGAAAAAAGAUGAAAACCAUCGGGAGGGAUUUUCUUGUUGUUCUUUUUUCCUCAAUUCUUU
rnacentral:ribozyme from 13 species